GCCGGAAUGACGGAAUGGCAGACGUGGAGGACUCAAAAUCCUUUGCCAGCGAUGGUGUGCGGGUUCAAGUCCCGCUUUCGGCACCA
rnacentral:tRNA from 1 species